CCCUAGCCCUGAUGGAAACGGCAUCCUUUUUUGUGAUUGCGAUGGCGAAAAAGUUGUACAUAUAAUUUCGGUUCUAUCGCAAUUACAAAAAAGAUACAGUGGACAGCAGGUUCCCGG
rnacentral:sRNA from 1 species